rnacentral:rRNA from 1 species
AGUGAACGCUGGCGGCAGGCCUAACACAUGCAAGUCGAACGGCAGCACAGGAGAGCUUGCUCUCUGGGUGGCGAGUGGCGGACGGGUGAGGAAUACAUCGGAAUCUACCCUGUCGUGGGGGCAUAACGUAGGGAAACUUACGCUAAUACCGCAUACGACCUGAGGGUGAAAGCAGGGGACCGCAAGGCCUUGCGCGACUGGAUGAGCCGAUGUCGGAUUAGCUAGUUGGUGGGGUAAAGGCUCACCAAGGCGACGAUCCGUAGCUGGUCUGAGAGGAUGAUCAGCCACACUGGAACUGAGACACGGUCCAGACUCCUACGGGAGGCAGCAGUGGGGAAUAUUGGACAUGGGCGCAAGCCUGAUCCAGCCAUGCCGCGUGUGUGAAGAAGGCCUCGGUUGUAAGC